rnacentral:tRNA from 1 species
UACGAAGUAGUAUAAGGUAAUGUACGUAGGGUUUUGGUCUCUGAAGUGUGAGUUUAUUUCUUUCCUUUGUAG